GUGGCGGUCGUUUAUGAGCUGGUCGUGUUGGGAAUUGGUAUGGCCGAGGAUUCGCAGUUUUUUCCCUCACCAUCGAGCGAGUAGUGAUUGGUGGUAAUUUCUAAUCGAAACUGUGAGAAAAUAUGUACUUGGCGAUAAUUUCCUGAGUGGCAAAAGAGGGUAGAAAACAUCCACGAAAGACGAACUGUGCGGUCUCAAAUGAACCACAACUUGCGGCUCUCAGCGGGUAAACUAGAUGGCAAACGUACCAAAGACUCGAUGUCGUCAUCUAGCUUGUCAGGCACGUCUCAGCUUUCAAGUAGCAGCGAUGAAGUCCUGGAACCGCUUGUACACAAGUCUCAUAAUAUCAUUAAAAAGUCUGAAAGCACAACAAAAGACAAAGACAACAACGAAUGGUUGCUAACUGGAUCUGGAGGAGGCAAGCCGCCGGUACUGCGAUUCAAGUGCUCCGCGUUAGCCACACCACCAGAGGAUCCACCAGGAAAACAACUACAUAUGACCUACAAGAUCUUUCAAACUGAUACGAAACUCAUCAGUUUACUACUUCAGUCACAUGGCCUUGCUGAGGUUUCUAUGACUGACCAAAAUUUCAACAUUUUAUGGAUGGGCAAUCAUCCAAAGCCAGAUGUUCUUCGUAAUCUGACACCGCACCAAAAAGUAAAUCACUUUCCAAGAUCUUACGAAAUCACGCGAAAGGACCGACUUUAUAAAAAUAUCGAGGCAAUGCAGAGGAGCAAAGGUGCGAGGAACUUAGAUUUCAUCCCACAAACCUUUCUCUUGCCCUGCGAAUCGAGGGAGUUAUUAACCGCGCAUUUCAGGUAUCGCGGCCCUUGGAUUGUGAAGCCUAAAGCGAGUUCUCGUGGCCGCGGUAUUUACAUUGUUAACAGUCCAGAAAAAAUUAUCAUCGACGAAUCAGUUAUCGUUGCUCAGUACAUAAACAACCCGCUUUUAGUCGAUGGGCAUAAAUGUGAUUUGCGGCUGUAUGUCGCUGUGACGAGUUACGAUCCACUUUUGAUAUACCUUUAUGAAGAAGGACUAGUCAGGUUUGCCACCGUCAAGUAUGAUGGCGGACAUCAAUAUGUGUGGAAUCCAUGUAUGCAUCUUUGCAACUAUAGCAUCAACAAAUUCCACGUAGAUUACAUAAAGAGUGAAGAUCCAGAUGCCGAAGAUGUUGGUCACAAAUGGACACUCUCAGCAUUGUUACGACAUCUUCGAUCCAUGGGACAAGACACAGAACUAUUGAUGCAAAGAAUAGAGGAUGUCAUUGUCAAAUCUAUUUUAGCCACUGCAUCUGGAAUUGUCAGCGGAGUGAAGCAAUUCGUCAAACAUCCAGAUACUUGUUUCGAAUUAUUUGGGUUUGAUAUCUUAAUUGACGACACCUUGAAACCUUGGCUACUUGAGGUCAACCUCACUCCGUCUCUAGGUUGUGAUUCCCCAUUGGACGUGAGAUUGAAAUCUGCAUUAAUGGCAGAUUUACUCACGCUUGUAGGCAUUGCUGCUGUUGAUCCAAUAUUGAGACCACAUAGUAACAACCAUCGAUCUAUUACGAAUCCUUCAAAAAAUAUGACUAGUUACAGGAGAGUCCAUUCGGCUGAAAUGCUCAUGCAGAAGAAGAAAAAUGUAGCCAAAAAUAGUUUAAACAAAUCUGGUCUCACAGCUGAACAGCAAAGAAUAGUUGCAUCUGCUCGAGCACAGUUUGAACGAAGAGGUGGAUUUGUUCGUAUCUUCCCUAGUCCAAAAUCGUGGGAAAUCUAUUCUCAAUAUCUCGAUUCUGUCACAGGAAUACCAGUAGUAACAGACCCCUUGGGGCCAGGAAGGUUGCAACAGCAGGUUAAUACUAACUAUAAUUUAAUGCUACACGAACAAUUGUUCCCAGCUGCAUGCCGAACUACCGGAUUUAUUAUUCCAGAAGUGACAUUGGAUAGACUUUCAAGGUAUGAAAGAUAUGAAAGAGCUUUGGUGAAAGGUCAUAAACAGAGCUUGGAUCGCGGUGACAGCAAAGAAAACUUAGACGUGGAUACACACAAGUACAAAGCACAAGUGAUGAAGCUUAUGGAAGAUGGAAAUAAACUCAGCUCAGGUGAAGCAAGAAAGGCUUUUGGAUUGUAUUUGGGAUGUAUUCUACGAAAAAUUUCUCAACCAAGUGCGGAUUCAGCCUGUUCUGAACUUGUCAUGAAAUUUCUUCAGCAAUCAGCCAGCAAUUUACGCACACCCUUCUUAUUUACUUUGCCAAGCAGUAAGCUUGGUGACAAAGAUCGUGCAGCUAUAACUGCAAAACAGUUGUCGGACUUCUUACAUCUAUACAACAGAGAAACAGAUUUAUAUGCAGAUACAGUGGAUCGCCCGCGAACAGUGCCUAAUAGAUUAUUUCAAAAGUUCCUUGCAACCGCUAGAUGCGAAGUUCGGCGAGAUUGAGAGCCGUCGGUCGUGUACGUCGGUGUCCGUAGAAUUCUGGGGCAGAGCCUCACCUCGAGAUCGGAAGGGUUGAUGAAUCCGAACGAUGUUGAACGUCAGGGAAGAAGAUCUGGAUGAUGUACUAAUACUGCAAACACGACUGUAUAACUGCGCACACAGCUUUCUAGGCAGGAGUGGGUUUGCGGGAACUCUUCGUGGACCUAAUCUAUUA
rnacentral:misc_RNA from 1 species